UGGCCCUUACCAGAUGAUGGCAACUUAAUAUUUGAAUUCCCAGCCUCCAGAACUGCCCUGGAAUUUGAACCACCAUCUUCUGGACUGACUCAAAUGCAGAGGAAGCCAGGCCUGCCACUAACGUUUCUAAGAGCAGCAAGAGUAUAAAUGGAGAUCCACGUAUGUAUAAAUAAUUAGAGUGUGAAUCAAGCUAACAAACUGUUUAAUAAAAUACGAUCUACUCUCUAGCUUGACAAAUCAACUUUUAAAACACCUGGAAGAACAAGUUUGCACUCAGGAUUCUCAGACUCCUCCAAGUUCUGCACUGGGAUGUGGAAGAGCUGUGCAAGCCAGCCCUUGGGUCCCUGAUCCCGCCUCCUGGCCUGUGCCUGUCUAUUCUCAGCCUGGCUCCAGCUCCCAUUGAGAGGAAGUUCAUGUACACACAUGAUACUAUAGGCCUCUGUCUAAUAUUUAUCUAUACCUUCUGCAAACAGCCACUGUGUGACCACCCUUGGGCUUAGGGGUCCGCAAACCGACAACAGAGAAUGGGAACCAAGGCAGAAGCUCACAGACUCUAGAAAUGGGCAUAGGUCCAUGUGGGCAGAGACCUGUGAAAUCCUCGGUAAGCAAGGUGUCUUAGUUUGCUUGUGCUGCUUAAACAAAACACUACAGACUAGGUAAUUUAUAAAUAUUAGAAAUAUAUUUCUCAGAAUUCUGAAGGUUGGGAAGUCCAAGGUCAAGGUAUUGGCAAGGUUGGUGGGAGCUGCUUUCUCUGCUUCCAAGAUGGUACUUUUUUGCUGUGUCCUCUUGAGGGGAAGAAAGCAGAAGGGCAAAGGGGCCAAUUAUCUCUCUGAGGCCUCUUUUGUAAAGUUGUUAAUCCAUUCCUGAGGGCUCUGCCCUCAUGACUUAAUCACUUUCCCAAAGUCACAUCUCUUAAUACUACCACAAUGAGGAUGAAGUUUCAACAUGAAUUUUCAAGGGGUCACAUUCAAGCCAUAACACAGGGCAUGGCCUAGUAGAGGAAAUGCAAGCUCUGGGUAUGCAAGUCCCCUUUGCCCCAUAAACUUCUUGCUUCAUGGGAAGGGAUGUGGCUGGAGGGUACCCCUCUACAGCACAGGUCCCAGAGCACCCCUCUUGCCUUGAGUUUAGGGAUAGUAUAGGUGGUGGUAGUGAGGCUACUUUUGCUCAUUAAGAAAAGCCUCUAUGAUGGGGUGGGGCUGAGAAUGACAUUUGAAUGGAAAGUUGAAUGAUAAAGAGUUAUCCAUGCCAAGACCUGGGAGAAGGGCAUUCCUAACUGAGAGAAGAGGAAAUGCCCAGAUGUCAUAAGCUCUGUAGGGAAGAAACACCAACAGGAGUGGGUGGAGCCUGAUUAAGAGAAGAAUGGUAAGAGAUGAGGUGAGAUGGUCAGGCAGGAGCAGGGACCCUGAAGGUCAGGUAAGGGGGUUUUGACUUUACCAUGUGUGCAAUGGGAAGCUUCUGAAGAAUUGAUAUGAGUUCUGUUACAGCACAAUCACUCUGGGUGCUGUGUGAAAUGGAUGAAUAGCAAGGAGCUGCUGGCAAGGGCAAAUCAACAGAAGCACCACUCAAAAUGCCUCACUACCCACUACAUAAGGAUUCUUGCGAUUAAUUCUUCCCCAAAUUUUAGAGCCAAGGAAAAUCCAGCUCUCCUACUAAGAGUUGUAGAUUAGAGCUUCUGUUUCUAAUCCAUAAACAAAUUCUAAACAUGUCUUUUCAUGACAAUUCCAACUUUGUCAUAAAGUCAUCUACUGAGAAACCAGUAGGCAGGUUUCUCCUCUUGUCUAGACCACCUGAAAGCACAUAGCUGAGUUUGCACUUCUUUGCAGAGGAAACUGCUCAUUUAUCAAUCUGGCAUCCAAUCACAACUUUAUAGCUAACUACCUAUAUGUUUUCAUAAACUUCUCUCACACAGUAUAAAUUUUAAAUAAAUCACAAUAGCUAUUACACAUAUAAGUAGUAGUAACUCAAGAGACUGGUAUCUGACUAGCGGUUAUUUCACCAGUGUAUACACUGGAAGUUUUGUUUUUUGAUGUAUGUACAUUAUAACUGCAGGGCAGGUCGUAAGAAGAUUUUAAAUUCACAUUAGCUUUCCUACCACUAAACUAUGGGGACUGAGUGUUUCUAAUUUACAAACAAAGAUAUGCAAUGUCUUUUUAUGAUCAUCCUGACUUUAUAAUAGGAUUGCUAUAAAAUAUUUUAAGACAUACGAAAAGGCAUAAAGUGUAAUACAAUGAGUACCCAUAUAUCUAACUCCCAGUUUAAGAAAUAAAACAUUAGCAAAUACAGCUGAAGUUCCAUGAAUUCCCCUCCCAAAUCAUAAUCCCUUCCCACCUGCAGAGGGAACCUCUAUUCUAAGCCUGGUGUGUAUCACCACCAAGAAUUUAAAAAAUACUUUUACUAUACAUACACAAGUAUGUAUCCCUUAGAAAUGAGCAGUAGUACUGUUUUGUAGUAUAAGUAGUAGUACUUAUACCAUUUACACUUUAAGUAAAUGGUGUAAGUUUUUUCUUGGUUUUGCUAAAAACUGUUGAUGUUUAUGUCCUUUGAUUCUAUAGCUGAUUGACUUUCACUGUGAGUCAUUCCAUCAUUAUUUCUGUAUUCAUUCUCCUGCUGAAGUAUAUUUCAGGUUGUUUCUAUUCCUCUCCUGAUCCCCCUCCCCCAACACACAUGCUUUUAUUAAUAAAUCUGCUGGAACUUUCUUGCAUACAUCUCCUUGGAUGUGUUAUAUCAUAAAAUAUACAGAGAGAAAAUUGA